CUGAUCGAAUUUGACUCAUCCAUAACCAGAUGGCAUUUGAGAGGCUGGAUGGCAGGUAGGAGGUGGCUCCACUCUUUAAUUUUUCUAAAGCAGAGGCAGGUACUCCUAUUAGCAGGUCUCACUCAGAGCUGGUGACUGGAGAGAGAAAACCUCACAGGCAGACACACAAUUCAUCAAAAUUCUAAAUUCUAAGUCUGGUGGAAUCCAGUCUGGCUCCCCAGACGCUUGGAGGGGCAGUGGCCACCAGCUCUCCUUUCUCCUAGGGUCUGGAGCUAAGGAAAACCUGGCCUCCAAGCAGGAAAGAGCCAGUGCAAGGGAGCUAGGCUCCCUCCUCUCUGCUUGGUGAGCAGGAGAGGAGAUAGGAGGGAAUUGUGCCAAGGUCACUGUGUUCCGGGUCAGUGUGUUCCAGCUUUGAAGUCAGAGAGCCGCUGGUGUCCAGGCAAGAAAAAUGCUUCAGGGCGCUCCACCUGCCAGGCCGCUGACAAGUUCCAGCUGGGCCUCAGCCUCCAAGCAGCUGUAUGCUCCCAGGAGGCCACGCUCACCAAAGACUGCCUUUCCAGCCCCAGAAGCAUCGUUAGGAACCUGUGACUACAGAGACAGCCAAGCCAUGGAGCACCCAACAGCCUCACUCAUGUGCCCAGUCCCGGACCCCCCAGAAAAGGCAUUCAGAGAUGGAGCCUGGGGAGAGCACUGAAGUCUUGGAACAGCAAUGCCACAACCCACAUGCUUCGUGCUUCCUUCUGCCCCUGAGCCCAGCCACCCAGAGCAGGCCAGCAGGCUCAGAUGUGGGCACACUGGGGAUCACCACCUCCUGCACUUAGGGCAAGCCCCAGUUUGCUGUUCUCACAAGGGGCCAGGGCUAAAGACCUAAUGAAAAUGUGGUUCCCCUUGGAAAAGCAGGAGGGAAAAGUACUAUUCAAAGCACUAAGAUACAAAGCUUUUUCCUUUCUUCCACAGCCUUACUCUUGACUUGUCAUGGUGUCUUUUAUUUGCUAUUUAAUGCCAUUCUAAAGAAAGCAUAAUUAAAAUUGUAAACUACU